CAACAGGGAUUGCCUCAGUAACGGCGAGUGAAGCGGCAACAGCUCAAAUUUGAAAUCUGGCCCCAGGCCCGAGUUGUAAUUUGCAGAGGAUGCUUUUGGUGCGGUGCCUUCCAAGUUCCCUAGAACGGGACGCCAGAGAGGGUGAGAGCCCCGUACAGUUGGACACCAAGCCUUUGUAAAGCUCCUUCGACGAGUCGAGUAGUUUGGGAAUGCUGCUCAAAAUGGGAGGUAUAUUUCUUCUAAAGCUAAAUACCGGCCAGAGACCGAUAGCGCACAAGUAGAGUGAUCGAAAGAUGAAAAGCACUUUGAAAAGAGGGUUAAACAGCACGUGAAAUUGUUAAAAGGGAAGCGCUUGUGACCAGACUUGCGUCCGGUGAAUCACCCAGCUCUCGCGGCUGGGGCACUUCGCCGGCUCAGGCCAGCAUCAGCUCGCUGUCGGGGACAAAAGCUUCAGGAACGUAGCUCUCUCCGGGGAGUGUUAUAGCCUGUUGCACAAUACCCUUCGGCGGGCUGAGGUACGCGCUCCGCAAGGAUGCUGGCAUAAUGGUCAUCAGCGACCCGUCUUGAAACACGGACCAAGGAGUCAACCUUAUGUGCGAGUGUUCGGGUGUCAAACCCCUACGCGUAAUGAAAGUGAACGCAGGUGAGAGCUUCGGCGCAUCAUCGACCGAUCCUGAUGUUCUCGGAUGGAUUUGAGUAAGAGCAUAUAGGGUUGGACCCGAAAGAAGGUGAACUAUGCGUGUAUAGGGUGAAGCCAGAGGAAACUCUGGUGGAGGCUCGCAGCGGUUCUGACGUGCAAAUCGAUCGUCAAAUAUGCGCAUGGGGGCGAAAGACUAAUCGAA
rnacentral:rRNA from 1 species